AAACAGAGAAAGUGUUCACGUUACUGUGUAAAGGACACUCACCGACGACGCCAAACUUGGUACAAUACGUGAGUGAUCGAGAAGCUCCGUGAGAAACCCGACUCCGUUUGUGCAUUACGCUUCGGUCGUUGUUCCAUUGAUGACGAAGAAGAUGCGGUUCGGAUCCGUGCACUUUAUGUGGUCGAUGACGAACGACAGAGAGAGCUUCACGCUCUUGAGUAUCGUCGCCGCUUCUUCUUCAAUUUCUUCCCGUAUGCGGAAUCGUGCGCUUUGUUGCUAUGUGCUUAUUGCGUCAUUGUUGAUUCGUUCACGUCGUAUGCGUGUUGUCGGUGGCGAACAGUGGAGCUUAUGCGUGGAGAGCGACUUGAUUCACUAUUAUCGACAAUGAAGAGUGAAGGAUGCAAUUUUCCGAUUUGUGCUUUGCAGUCGUCGUUCUUAAAUUCUGUCACGUUUCAGAAACGCCUCCGUCGUACGCCAUUGUGAAUGGUUUGGUUAUCGGCGAUGUGAGAAGUGGAGGGUUCCGCGGCGGGUUGCAGCGUGAAGGUGAAUGGAGGUUUGGUUGAAGAAGAAGUGGUGGAGGAUGGUUCUUUGUUGAAGGAGAUGAUGGAGGUUACGGUUGGAGAUGUUGUUGUGUUGAAGAUGGAGGAUUGGAGAAGUAAAGGGGAUCAAGCAAGAGGAUGCAGAGUUGUGAGAAUGAAGAGUAAAGUGGAAGAAUGGUCAAGAAGUUGAAAUGAGGGUGGAGAAGAGGGAUUGAAGAAGCAUGUUAGACAGUUCGAAAGCUGUUGGAAAUUAGUUAUUCGGUUGAGGCAGCUAGCAGGUUUUCUUUUUCUGUUAUAUGGAGGAGUUGUUAUAUUUAUAAAAAAAGCCACUGCGAGGUGAUGUUUAUCAGUUAAAAAAAGCCACCGUGAGGUGAUCAAUUCAGUUUUUCUUUUGAAGGGUUUGAGAAGUUUGCUAUGAGGUUGAUGACAGCUGGAGAAUUCAGUUGGAAUUUAGUUAGAAUUCUGUUACAGGUUUUUGGUUUUGUUAGAGAAAAAGAGAAGGGUAGUUAUUGGAGUUAAUGGUGAAGUUUGGUUAGAAGGUUGUGAGUAGUGAAGUUGGUUACGGGAGUGUUGAGUAGUGAAGGUUAUUAUGGAAGAAGUGGUGUUGCGAUGAGUUGGUUCUAGGAAUGUUAAGGAGUGAAGGUUAUUAUGGGAGAUGUGGUGGAAUUCUGGAUUGAAUUCUUAAGUGUGGAUUCUGAGUUUUUGGGAGAAAUUUUUGAUACAGAAUUUUGGGUUGUUUGACUUAAUUCUGCCAACUCUGUUUUGGAAUUGUGGAGAGAAGUUGAAAGUUGGUUUAGGGGUACACACAAGGAAUAAUGAUCAUAUGAUAUGACAUUGAACUUAAGCCAAAGAUCCAGAACAAGUGGCUUUCGACUGGAUCUUAGCCAAGCAAGUGAAACAUACACUCUAUGGAAUGAUGGUGGACUAAUGAAGUAGGAUUAGGGGUACACACAAGAAUAAUGCUAUGAAUUAGGGUUUGGGGGACAUGAUUAGGGUUUAUAGAAACCAACAAGAAGUCACAUUUGAAUCUCCAAUGUUGAGCAUAUAUACAGACUUCAAGAGAUACCUCCAAUUAGAGUUUGAUAGUUUGAGCCCACCUUUAGCCGCAGAGAAACCCCAGUUUCCACUAGGUGCAAGCACAAAGCCUGAAAUCUAAGAUACUCGUCCUCUUGUAUUGGACCAUGAUUAUGCAAAUGAAACAAAAUGAUAUGAAGAUACAUACAUGACUAGGGUUAGUGACCUAGAUGAACUUUUUGAGGGGUAGGGUGAAUUUUGGGGUAUGCCACCGGUUUUGUAGGUGUGGCGGUGGUGGUCGCGCUGAGCUUUUUUCAUCUACUUUCCUUUUCCGAUUUUGAGCCCGUUCUAGCUAUAAAUUCGUUGUCAUUGUUCUAUUUUGUUUUGUGUUAUUGCAGGUGGUUAUUCUGUUGAUAUUUAUAAAGUUUGUGUUUUAAUUUGAGUAUGAGUUUUGUUGUGGAA